GGAGAAGACAUUGUGUCUUCGAGUCGUUGAUUUCACACUGCCGAGAAAAGCCUCUAGAUAGAAAAUAGGUGCCCGUACCGCAAACCGACACAGGUAGUCAAGAUGAGAAUUCUAAGGUGAGCGAGCGAACUCUCGUUAAGGAACUCGGCAAAAUGACCCCGUAACUUCGGGAGAAGGGGUGCUCUUUAGGGUUAACGCCCAGAAGAGCCGCAGUGAAUAGGCCCAAGCGACUGUUUAUCAAAAACACAGGUCUCUGCUAAACCGUAAGGUGAUGUAUAGGGGCUGACGCCUGCCCGGUGCUGGAAGGUUAAGAGGAGUGGUUAGCUUCUGCGAAGCUACGAAUCGAAGCCCCAGUAAACGGCGGCCGUAACUAUAACGGUCCUAAGGUAGCGAAAUUCCUUGUCGGGUAAGUUCCGACCCGCACGAAAGGCGUAACGAUUUG
rnacentral:rRNA from 1 species